AUUGAACGCUGGCGGCAUGCUUUACACAUGCAAGUCGAACGGCAGCACGAGUGCUUGCACUUGGUGGCGAGUGGCGGACGGGUGAGUAAUACAUCGGAACGUAUCCUAAAGUGGGGGAUAACGCAUCGAAAGAUGUGCUAAUACCGCAUAUACUCUGAGGAGGAAAGUAGGGGAUCGAAAGACCUUAUGCUUUUGGAGCGGCCGAUGUCUGAUUAGCUAGUUGGUAAGGUAAUGGCUUACCAAGGCAACGAUCAGUAGUUGGUCUGAGAGGACGACCAGCCACACUGGGACUGAGACACGGCCCAGACUCCUACGGGAGGCAGCAGUGGGGAAUUUUGGACAAUGGGCGCAAGCCUGAUCCAGCAAUGCCGCGUGAGUGAAGAAGGCCUUCGGGUUGUAAAGCUCUUUCAGUUGAGAAGAAAAGAUUGUAACUAAUAAUUGCGAUCCAUGACGGUAUCAACAGAAGAAGCACCGGCUAACUACGUG
rnacentral:rRNA from 1 species